rnacentral:lncRNA from 1 species
UUUUUUUUUAAAAUAAAGUUGACUUGCUAGACCCCUCCCCCUUUAAAAAUCCUUGAUUCUCAUCUAAACUGUUAACGAGGUUGCUUAAGUAAUAACAAUUAUGUUUGAGAAUUAAAAAUAGAUAGGUUCCUUUAAAUGAAGCUGAACAUAGGUUUCUUUAAAUGAAGCUGAACAUUUUGUUUAAAUUUUCUAGAAUAUACAUCACAUGCGAUUUUAAUCGUCGACAUUAAUUUGAAAUCCUUGUUAAUUAAUGCGUGACUUGGGCUUCUGGUACAUAUUAAAACGUGGAUUUUUUCAUCCAAACUCACUAAAAGAUUCUUGAGAGUCAAAUUUCCACAGAAUUAAAAAAUUAAUUAACAAUAAAAAAUUUAACAUUUUGAUAAAAUAAAAAAAUACACUAACCCUUUGCAGUUCAACUUUUAAUCUGGGUUCCGGAAAACUUUUUAAA